rnacentral:siRNA from 1 species
GACAGGUACUAUACGUCCAUGGUU